rnacentral:tRNA from 1 species
GCGCCCAUAGCUCAGUUGGAUAGAGCGUUUGACUACGAAUCAAAAGGUCGGUGGUUCGAAUCCAUCUGGGCGCG